AUGAAAACCAGCCCAGCCCUGACCCUGGAGCUCUGGGAGAGGAGCCCCAGCCUUGGGAUCAUCAGGUGUUUCUAUUCAGUGAUCAGCACUGAACACAGAGGACUCACCAUAGGAGUUUGGGCUGACCUGGGUUUUUCUUGUUGCUAUUUUAAAAGGUGUCCAGUGUGAUGUGCAGCUGGCGGAAUCUGGGGGAGGCUUGGUUCAGCCUGGGGGGUCCCUGAGACUCUCCUGUGCAGCCUCUAGAUUCACCUUUAGUAGCUAUGACAUGGAUUGGGUCUGCCAGGCUCCAGGGAAGGGUCUGCAGUGGGUCUCAGCUGUUAGUGCUGGUGGUAGUAACACAUACUACGCAGACUCCGUAAAGGGCAGAUUCACCAUCUCCAGAGACAAUGGCAAGAAAUUCUUGUAUCUUCAAAUGAACAGUCUGAGAGCUGAGGACACAGCAGUUUAUUACUGUGCGAAAAAAACACAGUGAGGGGAAAUCAGUGUGAGCCCAGACACAAACCUCCCUGUAAGAACGCUGGGGGGAAUCAGCUGCAGGGGGCGCUCAGGACCCACUGA